AAACUAACAAGGAUUCCCCUAGUAACGGCGAGUGAAGCGGGAUGAGCUCAAGCUUAAAAUCUCUGUGCAAGUUUUGCAUGGCGAAUUGUAGUCUAUGGAGGCGCUGUCAGUGCGGCCACUUGGGGUAAGUUCCUUGGAAGAGGACAGCAUCGAGGGUGAUACUCCCGUUUGUACCUGAGUGUGUUGCGCGUACGACACGUUUUCUUCGAGUCGCGUUGUUUGGGACUGCAGCGCAAAGUAGGUGGUAAAUUCCAUCUAAAGCUAAAUAUUGGUGCGAGACCGAUAGCGAACAAGUACCGUGAGGGAAAGAUGAAAAGAACUUUGAAAAGAGAGUUAAAGAGUACCUGAAACUGCUGAAAGGGAAGCGAAUCGUAUCCAGUGUCUAUAAUCCUUGGCAUAUUUCAUUGGCGCGUGUGCGCGUGCUGUGCGUUGGAAGCAGCGUUUGUUGCUCCAUGCUUGGCUCUGCGUGCGCUUGCUGAUGCCCUGUGUCUUGGUGGGACGUCAGAGUCAGUUCGUAUGCUGCGGGAAAUGGCUAUCGAGGAGGUAGGUCCGGGUUCGCCUGGGCUGUUAUAUCUCGGUAGUUAGUGGUCGUGGUUGGGACUGAGGUGCCUACAACGUGCUUUCGGGUCUGUGGGUCUCUCGUUUCUCAGCGUGUCUGGAUAGCUUGCUAUGCUGAUAGGUUUGUGGAGGCGAUGGAGGCUGGCAGUAACCUUUGCCGUUCGGGACUUUGACGAAAUGGAGCGAUUCGGC
rnacentral:rRNA from 1 species